rnacentral:rRNA from 1 species
UACGUAGGGUGCAAGCGUUAAUCGGAAUUACUGAGCGUAAAGCGUGCGCAGGCGGUUUUGUAAGACUGUCGUGAAAUCCCCGGGCUCAACCUGGGAAUGGCGAUGGUAACUGCAAGGCUAGAGUUUGGCAGAGGGGGGUAGAAUUCCACGUGUAGCAGUGAAAUGCGUAGAUAUGUGGAGGAACACCGAUGGCGAAGGCAGCCCCCUGGGUCAAAACUGACGCUCAUGCACGAAAGCGUGGGGAGCAAACAGG